GGGGCAAGAGGUCUCCUGAGGGGGCGGGAGGCUCCAGCCUCCGGGACACAGAGAUGCGGAAACCUCCAGAUGCCUAGAAGGGUCGGAGGUGAUUCAGCAUCCCAUUAGGAACUUCCACACCAAACUCAAGGAAGAGAUCAGGCAAGAUUUGUGCUGGGCAGAUCUUUGAAGUGAGGCUGUCUGUGCUGGGCAGCCAAUCAGUAACCAAGGGCCAUGUGACCACUGCUCAGAGGGACCUGAACAGGCAGGUGAUGUGGUGAAUUAAGGG
rnacentral:lncRNA from 1 species